AUGCUCACUUUGGCAGCACAUAUACUAAAACUAGAGCAAUACAGAGGAGAUUAACAUGGUCUCUGGGCCAGGAUGACAUGCAAAUCCAUGAAGCAAUAGAAAAAUAA
ensembl:snRNA U6 U6 spliceosomal RNA